UUUAGUUAGUCGUGUGUCGCCCGCUGUGCAGUUGCGUUAUUUCUUUUGUAAUUUCUUGUUUGCUGAUAUGAUUUGAUGGUUCUUGGCAGUGUUUAGGCUGAAUAUUUGUUUUAAAAAGUGGUCUGAUAACAAAUGGCUGAUAAUUCAGAAUGAAAGCCUAUUAAUAUUUUGCAGAAGCCUGUGUAACUGUUUUGAUUGUGUUUAGCAUUAUCUCAAACGCUUAUGAUGGCCAAAGUGGGGUUUGAUACUAAUAUUAGAGCAUUUAUUUUGUAUUUUAAUAGUGUUCAAUAUUACCUGGUCAUUUAAAUUUUGCUCAAAAGGACAAAUCGAGACAAAAUAUCCAAUAGCCAGUGUUUUAUGAAAUGUGAAAUGAAGCUAACUGCAUCAGACGGCCCAAAAUUUGUGUGUGAUGUGAAUUUUUGGUGACAAAUAUCUAUCUCACAUCGGACGAUAUCUUCUUUACCUGAUGCAUCUGACGUGCCCAUGGUAUGGAGGGAGCCAACAAAUCACAUCACAGACUGUUACUUCUGUAUGGUGCCUCCUAUUCGAAAAGGGGUGACAAUGAAUAAAACGUGGACAGUGACGUACCCAAAUAUACCAUCUGCAAUUCGCCCCAUGCCUCAUGUGAACUACUACCUAUUCCUGAACCACCUGAAAAUUUUUCUGUAGACUCUGAUGAAGACACUGAUGAUGUCCAUGUUGAGCUUGAUAUAGCCUACACGAAGAAGUACAGCAGCCGUACACGUCAAGGGAUCCACCAUUUUGUACAAGCCUCUAUCCUUCUGAACCACAUAAGAUCACAGAAAGUGAGCUUAAUGACCUCAUCAGGGAUCUCGAACUGCCGAAGAAUAAGCCAGAGCUUUUGGCCUCGAGGCUACAACAGUGUAAUCUUCCAGUUCACUCUGUGAAAGUGACAUUUCGUACUCGAAAUAAAGACUGUGAUAAAUUCUAUCAAACAGAAGGUGAACUCACUGACUUCUUAUGGAAAACUGGGGUGCAACAUGUCAUUGAAGAUGCAUUUCUUGCACUCACACCCGGAUUUCUUCCCGUCAAGCUGUGGUGCCAUCAGCGACGAACAUGGUGGGCGCUUCCAUCAAGACAUCUCAGUGAUGGAACAAAGAUACAAAAGCAAAUGGAGUGCUGCCAUGUUAGCCGAUUAUUGUUGGAUGGUGAAAAGGGAUGCUCCAGAAGCUAAAUACAAGCGAAAGGCGAAAAGGCGCUGUGUUUGAAAAAGAUAAUUCAAGUUUAAUCCACAACCCGGAUAAUCGUCGGUCUACUGUAUGUACGAUUAGGCCGACUCAACCCUUCAUGUUCACAGCCAUUAAAAAUUCGCCUCUGUGAGCGAUUUCCGUCGACUGA